UUUAGUGUGCUUAGCUGUAAAAUGAGGAAAUGAACAGUCCCCACCUCACUGAAUUACUGUGGGGAUGAAGUGAGACAUGCUUAUGAAGUGCCUUAGCACGCUGCCAGGCACUCACCUUUAGUAAUGAUCAUUAAUUCACUUCCAAAGACCCUUGACACCAGAUGUUUACUGGACACCCACUCUGUGCAACACCUUCUGCUAAGUGUCCCUGCAAUGUGACACAGGCUCUGUUCUCAAGGAGAUCACAGGUCAUGGAGGAGAUGGGCACGCAAGCAAUCCCAAUAGGUUUGGUACAGGUUUUCACCAGGAACAAUGCAAGCUCAGAAGAAGGGACAGUCAAGCCAGAAGGCUCUGCAGCAGCAGGCUGACAAGCAUCCACUCAUCCAGGAAAAAGACUAUUUAGGGGGCCCCUGGUGGCUCAGUGGUUAAGCGGUUGCCUUCGGUUUGCAUCAUGAUCCCAAGGUCCUGAGAU